GAUUCUAUAGUUUAAGUUGUCUGUAUUUGUUGGGGUUUUAGUGCUUGUUCGUUUUAGUGUUUCAUAUGUAUCGUUCGGGAUAGGUGAUUCGUAUGUAAUAUGAAUCGUAUUAUAUGGUUUCGAAACUAACGUAUCUAGUUUCUUCGUCGAUGAAGCCAGUGCACUCGGGCUGCAGGUACUGUACGCACCUAGGGUUUUCUUGCCGAGUAAAGCCUAGAGAAAAGGG